AACAACUCCAGUGGCUAAAGCAACAAUUUCUGAAGAACCCAUUUGCUUGAAUAUCCUGAAGAAGCUGAUGCUAUGAAUUUAAGGCAGCGUCCUCAAGCUACGCGCGGCCGCGGGACACUUGACGCGCCGCCUCGACCUCCCUUACAGCAGCAGGAGCCAUAUAACAUAAUUCCCAUUCAUAAUCUCUUGACUGACCAUCCUUCUCUCCGGUACCCAGAGGUACGGGCCGCCGCAGCCGCCCUGCGCGCCACUGAGGACCUCAAGGUGCCGUCCUUUAUGCCGUGGAAUGAUUCCAUGGAUAUCGUGGACUGGCUGGGGUUCUUCUUCGGGUUCCAAGGGGACAACGUGAAGAACCAAAGAGAGCACUUGGUGCUUCACUUGGCAAACUCCCAAAUGCGCCUCCAACCUCCGCCAGCAAGCGUCGAUCGCCUUGAUUUUGGUGUACUCCGCCGCUUUAGUCAGAAGUUGCUCAAGAAUUACACCUCAUGGUGCUCUUAUUUGCGUAAAAGGUCUCAAGUUCGGCUUCCAAAACGCCAGAACUCUGCCCUUCUCCGCCGGGAACUCUUGUAUGUAAGCCUCUACUUGUUGAUUUGGGGUGAGGCGGCGAACCUCCGCUUUACGCCGGAAUGUUUGUGUUACAUUUAUCAUAACAUGGCUGGGGAGUUAAAUCACAUUCUUGAUGGGCAUAUUGAUGAAAAUACUGGACAGCCGUAUGUUCCCUUGACUUGUGGUCAGUAUGGUUUCUUGAAUUAUAUUGUUACACCUAUUUACACUGCAAUUAAGGGUGAAGUUGCGAGGAGCAGAAAUGGGGCUGCCCCACAUUCUGCUUGGAGGAAUUAUGAUGAUAUUAACGAGUACUUUUGGAGUAGAAAGUGCUUCAAGAGACUGAAAUGGCCUAUUGAUUUGUCGAGUAAUUUUCUUUUGGUUAGCGGUGGCGAGAGAGUAGGGAAGACAGGAUUUGUGGAGCAAAGAACUUUCUGGAAUGUUUUUAGGAGUUUUGAUAGGUUGUGGGUGAUGCUAAUUUUGUUCUUUCAGGCUGCUAUGCUUGUUGCCUGGGAGCGAAGCAAGUAUCCAUGGCAAGCCUUGGAGAGUAGGGAUCUGCAGGUGCAGCUGCUUACAAUAUUCAUUACUUGGGCAGCCUUGAGAUUUGUUCAAGCAAUUCUUGAUGCUGGGACACAGUACAGUUUAGUCUCAAGGGACACGAUAUGGAUUGGCGUGAGAAUGGUGUUAAAAGGGUUAGAUGCUCUCACGUGGACCGUUGUGUUUGGGGUGUUUUAUGGGAGGAUUUGGAGCCAAAAAAAUUCUGAUGGCAGGUGGUCAUAUGAAGCAAACCAGAGAAUAUUGACAUUUCUGAAGGUUGUUUUAGUCUACGUCAUUCCUGAGUUGUUGGCUCUGGUUCUUUUCAUUCUUCCAUGGAUUCGAAAUUUACUCGAGGAAGUGGAUUGGACUAUCUUUCGCUGGUUAAGAUGGUGGUUUUAUACCCCAAUAUUUGUCGGUCGGGGGCUCAGGGAAGGACUUGUUAGUAACAUAAAGUACACGAUAUUUUGGAUUCUUGUCCUGCUUUCAAAAUUCUUGUUCAGUUACUUCCUUCAGAUCAAGCCCCUGGUUGCUCCAACAAAGGCUCUUCUGAAGAUGCAUGGAACAUACAGGUGGCAUCAAUUUUUUGGUAGCACCAAUAGAGUGGCUGUAAUUAUGUUGUGGGUUCCUGUUAUUUUGAUAUAUUUAAUGGAUUUGUUAGUUUGGUAUUCAAUAUUCUCCUCUAUUGUCGGGGGAGUUAUUGGAUUGUUUUCUCAUAUAGGUGAGAUCCGAAACAUUCAACAGCUGAGGCUUCGAUUCCAGUUCUUUGCAAGCGCAUUGCAAUUUAAUCUAAUGCCUGAGGAUCACACCACAGGCUCGAAAGCAACACUGGUACACAAAUUGCGGGAUGCACUGCAUAGACUGAAGCUGCGGUAUGGCCUUGGCCAGCCAUAUAAGAAGAUGGAAUCGAGCCAGGUGGAAGCAACUAGGUUUGCAUUGCUGUGGAAUGAAAUGAUAAUAACUUUGAGAGAGGAAGACCUGGUCAGUGACCAGGAAGUGGAGCUAAUGGAACUGCCUCCUAAUUGUUGGGACAUUAAGGUUAUUCGAUGGCCCUGUGCUCUUCUCUGCAAUGAGCUCUUGCUUGCUCUCAGUCAUGCAACAGAACUGGAGGAUGCGCCAGAUAGAUGGGUAUGGUAUAGGAUUUGCAAGAAUGAGUACAGACGCUGUGCUGUAAUUGAGGUGUAUGAUAGCAUCAAAUAUUUGCUUUGUAACGUUAUUAUUAAAUAUGGCACAGAAGAGCAUUCAAUAGUCACUAAUCUGUUCACUGGGAUUGAUGAAAGCAUUCAUUUUGAAAAGUUCGCAGCGACAUACAAGACAUCUGUUUUCCCCAAGAUUCAUGAACAGUUGAUAUCUCUCAUCCAUCUUUUGCUCAUGCCUCAGAAGAACAUGACAAAGAUAGUGAAUGUAAUGCAGUACUUGUAUGAGCUUUCUGUUCGAGAAUUUCCACGGAUGAAGAAAUCUGUUGCACUGUUGAAACAGGAAGGUUUAGCACCUCUAAAUCCUGCAUCAUCUGCUGAUGGACAACUUUUUGAAAAUGCUCUGGAAUUUCCUGAAGCUGGAGACAUUUUCUUCUAUAGGCAGCUAAGACGUUUGCAGACAAUACUUACAUCUAAAGAUUCAAUGCACAAUGUCCCAAGAAAUCUUGAGUCGAGGAGACGCAUUGCUUUCUUUAGUAAUUCGUUAUUUAUGAACAUGCCACGAGCUCCGCAAGUUGAGAAGAUGAUGGCCUUCAGUGUCUUGACUCCUUACUAUGAUGAAGAUGUGUUGUAUGGUAAAGAAAUGCUUAGAAGUCCCAAUGAAGAUGGCAUCUCAACCUUAUUUUAUUUGCAGAAGAUUUAUGAAGAUGAGUGGACAAAUUUUCUGGAGAGGAUGCGCAGGGAAGGUAUGCAAAAUGAUGAUGAGAUUUGGACCACAAAGGUGAGGGAUCUCCGACUGUGGGCAUCACACAGAGGCCAGACAUUGUCUCGUACAGUGAGAGGGAUGAUGUACUACUAUAGGGCACUGAAAAUGCUUGCCUUCCUUGAUACUGCGUCUGAGUUGGAUAUAAGGCAGGGAUCGGAUGGAAAUGCUUAUCUUGCUUCACUGCAGCAGAACAGCGGUUUGGAUGGACUAGAUUCUUACACGGCAUCAACUUCUCAAACUCUUGGCCGAGCAAGUAGCAGUGUGAGCCUUCUUUUCAAAGGUCACGAGUUUGGCAGUGCUAUGAUGAAAUUCACUUAUGUUGUUGCCUGCCAGAUGUAUGGGCAUCAUAAGGUAAAGGGUGAUCCUCGUGCUGAAGAUAUUUUCAACUUGAUGAAAAAUAAUGAGGCCCUUCGAGUAGCUUAUGUUGAUGAGGUUUACCUGGGAAGGGAAGAGGUGGAAUAUUACUCUGUCUUGGUGAAGUAUGAUCAACAACUAAAGAGAGAGGAUGAAAUUUACCGUAUCAAGUUGCCUGGUCCAUUGAAGCUGGGUGAAGGAAAACCAGAGAACCAGAACCACGCCAUCAUUUUUACUCGCGGUGAUGCAAUUCAGACCAUAGAUAUGAACCAAGAUAAUUAUUUUGAGGAGGCAUUGAAGAUGCGGAAUUUACUGGAGGAGUUUAAAUCCUAUCAUGGUAUCAGGAGGCCCACAAUUCUCGGAAUUCGUGAAAAUAUUUUUACUGGUUCUGUGUCAUCUCUUGCUUGGUUCAUGUCUGCUCAAGAAAUGAGUUUUGUAACUCUGGGGCAACGAGUUCUGGCAAAUCCUUUGAAGGUUCGGAUGCACUACGGACAUCCUGAUGUCUUUGACAGAUUCUGGUUUUUGACUCGAGGUGGCAUAAGCAAAGCUUCUAAAGUGAUCAAUAUUAGUGAGGACAUAUAUGCGGGAUUCAAUUGCACGUUGCGAGGUGGCAAUGUGACGCACCAUGAGUACAUACAGGUGGGUAAGGGAAGGGAUGUUGGAUUAAAUCAGAUAUCCAUGUUUGAGGCAAAGGUUGCUAGCGGCAAUGGUGAGCAGGUCUUGAGUAGAGACGUAUACAGGUUGGGUCAUCGGCUAGAUUUCUUUCGUAUGCUUUCGUUCUUUUAUAGUACUGUCGGAUACUUCUUCAACACCAUGAUGGUGGUCCUCAUGGUCUACACUUUUCUUUGGGGACGCCUUUAUCUUGCUCUCAGUGGUGUUGAAAACAGUGCCAAGGAAGCGAGUGACAAUAAAGCGCUUGGUGCAAUCUUGAAUCAACAGUUCAUCAUCCAAAUUGGUAUUUUCACUGCCCUCCCAAUGAUUGUGGAAAAUUCUCUAGAACAUGGGUUCCUUCCUGCUAUUUGGGAUUUUGUAACAAUGCAACUGCAGCUUGCUUCACUGUUUUACACAUUCUCACUUGGAACACGUGCACAUUAUUUUGGUCGGACCAUUCUUCAUGGAGGUGCCAAGUACAGGGCUACUGGACGUGGUUUUGUUGUGCAACAUAAAAGCUUUGCAGAGAACUAUAGAUUAUAUGCUCGCAGCCAUUUUGUGAAAGCAAUUGAGCUUGGAGUGAUUCUCAUAGUGUACGCCUCACAUAGUCCUUUGGCUUCAAAUACCUUUGUUUACAUUGCAAUGACCAUCUCAAGUUGGUUCCUUGUUGUAUCGUGGAUGAUGUCACCCUUUAUCUUCAAUCCUUCUGGUUUUGAUUGGUUGAAAACUGUCUACGACUUCGAUGAUUUCAUGAAAUGGCUAUGGUAUAAUAGAGGAGUUUUCAUAAAAGCAGAUCUCAGCUGGGAAACAUGGUGGUACGAGGAGCAGGAGCACUUGAGGACAACUGGUCUUUGGGGAAAAUUACUGGAGAUUAUUUUAGAUCUUCGUUUCUUCUUUUUCCAGUACGGAAUUGUUUACCACUUGAACAUUACUGGUAAGAACAAAAGUAUUGCUGUGUAUUUGCUGUCUUGGAUCUACAUGGUUGUGGCAGUUGCAAUCUAUAUUGUCAUAGGAUAUGCUCAGGAAAAGUAUGCUGCAAAGAAGCAUAUCUACUAUCGACUGGUUCAGUUGGUUGUUAUUGUGCUUAUUGUACUUGUGAUCAUUCUGUUGCUCAAGUUCACUGGCUUUACAUUUCUUGAUCUUAUCUCGAGUCUCUUGGCAUUUAUACCCACGGGAUGGGGCAUAAUACAAAUUGCUCAAGUUCUCAGGCCUUUUCUGCAAUCCACAGUAGUUUGGGAGACUCUAGUCUCCUUGGCUCGUCUGUAUGAUAUGAUAUUUGGGUUAAUUGUUAUGGUUCCUCUGGCAAUUGUGUCAUGGAUGCCUGGACUAGAGUCGAUGCAGACAAGGAUGCUGUUCAAUGAAGCUUUCAGCAGGGGACUCCAGAUAUCUCAGAUCCUGACUGGCAAAAAGUCCAACUAGGACAUGUAAUAACAGGCUGUUGGCACCAACCAGGAUCAACUUUACAUAUGGGCCUUGAAGAGCCAUGGCCCACUUAAUUCUAGAAAUUUGCCUUCUGUAAUUUCCAUCUAAGAUUUGGCUGUUAGCUGGAUACCAGAGUAGAUCGCUUGUAGUAGGCCUAAAGGAGAAAUUUCUCUGGAGUAUCUCUUGGACUAAUGCACUGGCAGCAUGUAAUUCCGAUGAUGGACAGUCCUGUUAUAUUUUGAUUUUGAUGCUCAGUGGUUGGGCAAUAACCAGGAAGCAGUAUAUAAUUAACUGUUAGUGGGAUGAUUAGUUACACGCUUAUAGUUUUGUAAUUAAGCAAUUUGAAGAAAUAGACUUGGUUUUCCUUGUUCAUGUAAACAUCUCUGAUCUGAUGCUGUACAUAUUUUCACAUGUAAAUUAAAGUAGCUUGGUGCUGUUCCAGACUACAGUUUUGUGCAAAAUUUUUAGACAAUUUCGAUCUGCUUUUUGGAAAAGCUCCUCUUAAAUUGUGCUCC